UACGGGGGGGGCAAGCGUUGUUCGGAAUUACUGGGCGAAAGGGCUCGUAGGCGGCCAACUAAGUCAUACGUGAAAUCCCUCGGCUUAACCGGGGAACUGCGUCCGAUACUGGUUGGCUUGAGUUUGGGAGAGGGAUGCGGAAUUCCAGGUGUAGCGGUGAAAUGCGUAGAUAUCUGGAGGAACACCGGUGGCGAAGGCGGCAUCCUGGACCAAUACUGACGCUGAGGAGCGAAAGCCAGGGGAGCAACGGG
rnacentral:rRNA from 1 species